rnacentral:rRNA from 1 species
CUACGGGAGGCAGCAGUGAGGAAUCUUAGACAAUGGGGGCAACCCUGAUCUAGCCAUGCCGCGUGAGUGAUGAAGGCCUUAGGGUCGUAAAGCUCUUUCGCCUGUGAUGAUAAUGACAGUAGCAGGUAAAGAAACCCCGGCUAACUCCGUGCCAGCAGCCGCGGUAAUACGGAGGGGGUUAGCGUUGUUCGGAAUUACUGGGCGUAAAGCGCGCGUAGGCGGAUUAGAAAGUUGGGGGUGAAAUCCCGGGGCUCAACCCCGGAACUGCCCUCAAAACUAUCAGUCUAGAGUUCGAGAGAGGUGAGUGGAAUUCCGAGUGUAGAGGUGAAAUUCGUAGAUAUUCGGAGGAACACCAGUGGCGAAGGCGGCUCACUGGCUCGAUACUGACGCUGAGGUGCGAAAGUGUGGGGAGCAAACAGGAUUAGAUACCCUGGUAGUCCACACCGUAAACGAUGAAUGCCAGUCGUCGGGUAGUAUACUGCUCGGUGACACACCUAACGGAUUAAGCAUUCCGCCUGGGGAGUACGGUCGCAAGAUUAAAACUUAAAGGAAUUGACGGA